UAACCUUCGGGAGGGCGCUUGCCACGGUGUGGCCGAUGACUGGGGUGAAGUCGUAACAAGGUAGCCGUAUCGGAAGGUGCGGCUGGAUCACCUCCUUUUUGAGC
rnacentral:rRNA from 1 species